UUGGCUAAUCCUGGUCGGACAUCAGGAGGUUAGUGCAAUGGCAUAAGCCAGCUUGACUGCGAGCGUGACGGCGCGAGCAGGUGCGAAAGCAGGUCAUAGUGAUCCGGUGGUUCUGAAUGGAAGGGCCAUCGCUCAACGGAUAAAAGGUACUCCGGGGAUAACAGGCUGAUACCGCCCAAGAGUUCAUAUCGACGGCGGUGUUUGGCACCUCGAUGUCGGCUCAUCACAUCCUGGGGCUGAAGUAGGUCCCAAGGGUAUGGCUGUUCGCCAUUUAAAGUGGUACGCGAGCUGGGUUUAGAACGUCGUGAGACAGUUCGGUCCCUAUCUGCCGUGGGCGCUGGAGAACUGAGGGGGGCUGCUCCUAGUACGAGAGGACCGGAGUGGACGCAUCACUGGUGUUCGGGUUGUCAUGCCAAUGGCACUGCCCGGUAGCUAAAUGCGGAAGAGAUAAGUGCUGAAAGCAUCUAAGCACGAAACUUGCCCCGAGAUGAGUUCUCCCUGACUCCUUGAGAGUCCUGAAGGAACGUUGAAGACGACGACGUUGAUAGGCCGGGUGUGUAAGCGCAGCGAUGCGUUGAGCUAACCGGUACUAAUGAACCGUGAGGCUUAACCUUACAACGCCGAAG
rnacentral:rRNA from 1 species